GACUACAUCUUGGGUACAGUGUACACUGCUUGGGUGACAGGUGCAUCAGAAUUCUAGAAAUCACCACUAAAGGACUUAUCCAUAUAACCAAAACCUAUCUGUAACCCCAAAAUAUUAAAAUAAAAAAUAAAAUUAAAUAUAUAUACAGUUCUAUAUAUUUUUUUCCCUAACACUCACACACUGACUUUAACUACUCUAUGGUGAAAGUUUUAUUUUCUUUUGAAUAUUCUGAAAAAUAUGUUUACAUCUUUAUACAGUAGUCUGAUUGUUUUGGAGAAGUUUUAAAGAACUGAAGGGCCUCAACCAUUUUCCUCAAGGCUAAACAUCAUCAGCAUUUUGCUUGUUUCAACAUAGCUCUCUCCUAUUCUUGUGGUGCCUACCCCCUUUUAGGUCCAGCUUUAACAAAGAGAUCAGAUUUAUCUGGCAAUAAACCAAAAUUGGGAAUUUGCAGUGCUAGAAUUUGCCCACAUGAUCAUGUCUUCUGGUCCUAAAGGUAUAUUCCUUGAGUACAAUGGAGUAUAAGCAAUAUCUUUCAGAAAUACCCACAGAGGAACAAGUGUUCCGGAAAAAGCACUUGAAAGAAAAGUAUAGAGCAUAGGAACAGAGAAAUGGAAUCUGCCACUGAGAAGCAAAAGGUUGCCUUUUUUAAACUAGCAGUUUUGGUUUAAUGAUUACAUCAUGCUGUAAUAAGCAACCAAAGAAUUUCCAGUUGGUCCGGUACACACUCGACCCACUUAAGGCCACAUAAGUCUACAUGAAGCUAGAGCUAGAACUCUGCAAAUUCCUCACAAAUCUCCUAUCUGUACUUCCCCAUCACCCCAGAUGUUCAUGGUUGGUAAAUACUUGCUGAGUAGGUACUUGCAAAAACAAACAAAAACCACCACUACCAACAA